GCGUCACAACGUGUCAAGCGGGCCGUAGUUUGCGCAUAUUGUUUUCGCAUUAUUCUUCCGCCACGAUCAUAAUAAAGUGCACGUCGCAUAUGAUUAACGUCGAAAGUGUCGUGCAAAGUGUCGCGCGAUUGUCAUAUUCCGUUUUUCUCUCUUUGAGUGACGCGCGUGAGAUUGUAACCUUAUUUUCGGAAGAUCUAUUGUACGAAAGUGCUACAAGAAAAAGCAACUCGGAAGAAACUAAGAGAAGGGAUAAGUCUAGGAGGCCUCAGAAAUGGUGGAUGCAAUCUUAGGAUUAACGUGGCGUCGCAAUUCUGCGCAUCGAUUUCAAAAUUAGUGACUGUCAUGUAAGAAGAUGGUGGGAGAUACUAACUGAUUAGAUCUUCAUUGGAAUGUAAUACCGAUUUAUAUACAAAAAAGAUUAUAUAAAUAUUUAAAUAAGAUACUGUAGAGGACCGAGAAAUCGUAUAAUAUA